GACGAACGCUGGCGGCGUGCUUAACACAUGCAAGUCGAACGGAAAGGCCCUGCUUGCAGGGUACUCGAGUGGCGAACGGGUGAGUAACACGUGGGUGAUCUGCCCUGCACUUCGUGAUAAGCGUGGGAAACUGGGUCUAAUACCGGAUAGGAGCCAUCUUUAGUGUGGUGGUUGGAAAGUUUUUUCGGUGUAGGAUGAGCUCGGGGCCUAUCAGCUUGUUGGUUGGGUAAUGGCCUACCAAGGCGGCGACGGGUAGCCGGCCUGAGAGGGUGUAAGGCCACAUUGGGACUGAGAUACGGCCCAGACUCCUACGGGAGGCAGCAGUGGGGAAUAUUGCACAAUGGGCGCAAGCCUGAUGCAGAGACGCCGCGUGGGGGAUGAAGGCCUUCGGGUUGUAAACUCCUUUCGCUAGGGAAGAAGCUUUGUUGUGACGGUACCUAGAUGAGAAGCACCGGCUAACUACGUG
rnacentral:rRNA from 1 species